UACGUAGGGUGCAAGCGUUGUCCGGAAUUAUUGGGCGUAAAGAGCGUGUAGGCGGCCCGGUUAGUCCGCUGUGAAAGUCCAGGGCUCAACCCUGGAAUGCCGGUGGAUACUGUCGGGCUAGAGUCCGGAAGGGGCGAGUGGAAUUCCUGGUGUAGCGGUGAAAUGCGCAGAUAUCAGGAGGAACACCGGUGGCGAAGGCGGGUCUCUGGGCCGAAAUUGACGCUGAGGAGCGAAAGCGUGGGGAGCAAACAGG
rnacentral:rRNA from 1 species